rnacentral:tRNA from 1 species
AGUUAAUGAACUUGAUAUAAGUAUAUAUUUUGAAAAUAUAAGAAAGGUAAGAAACCUAUUAACUU